rnacentral:rRNA from 1 species
GACGGGGGAUGCGAGCGUUAUCUGGAAUGAUUGGGCGUAAAGGGUCCGCAGGUGGCCCGGUCAGUCCGCUGUCAAAACCUGGGGCUCAACCCUGGAGAGGCGGCGGAGACCACCGGGCUUGAGUCCGGUAGGGGCAGAGGGAAUUCCCGGUGGAGCGGUGAAAUGCGUAGAGAUCGGGAAGAACGCCAAGGGCGAAGGCACUCUGCUAGGCCUGAUUUCGCGACUGACACUCAGGGACGAGAGCCAGGGGAGCGAAUGGG